CGAGCGGGGGAGAUUGCUUCGGUAACUGACCUAGCGGCGGACGGGUGAGUAAUACUUAGGAAUCUGCCUAUUAAUGGGGGACAACAUCUCGAAAGGGAUGCUAAUACCGCAUACGCCCUACGGGGGAAAGCAGGGGAUCACUUGUGACCUUGCGUUAAUAGAUGAGCCUAAGUCGGAUUAGCUAGUUGGUGGGGUAAAGGCCUACCAAGGCGACGAUCUGUAGCGGGUCUGAGAGGAUGAUCCGCCACACUGGGACUGAGACACGGCCCAGACUCCUACGGGAGGCAGCAGUGGGGAAUAUUGGACAAUGGGGGGAACCCUGAUCCAGCCAUGCCGCGUGUGUGAAGAAGGCCUUAUGGUUGUAAAGCACUUUAAGCGAGGAGGAGGCUCUUGUAGUUAAUACCUACGAUGAGUGGACGUUACUCGCAGAAUAAGCACCGGCUAACUCUGUGCCAGCAGCCGCGGUAAUACAGAGGGUGCGAGCGUUAAUCGGAUUUACUGGGCGUAAAGCGUGCGUAGGCGGCUUUUUAAGUCGGAUGUGAAAUCCCCGAGCUUAACUUGGGAAUUGCAUUCGAUACUGGGAAGCUAGAGUAUGGGAGAGGAUGGUAGAAUUCCAGGUGUAGCGGUGAAAUGCGUAGAGAUCUGGAGGAAUACCGAUGGCGAAGGCAGCCAUCUGGCCUAAUACUGACGCUGAGGUACGAAAGCAUGGGGAGCAAACAGGAUUAGAUACCCUGGUAGUCCAUGCCGUAAACGAUGUCUACUAGCCGUUGGGGCCUUUGAGGCUUUAGUGGCGCAGCUAACGCGAUAAGUAGACCGCCUGGGGAGUACGGUCGCAAGACUAAAACUCAAAUGAAUUGACGGGGGCCCGCACAAGCGGUGGAGCAUGUGGUUUAAUUCGAUGCAACGCGAAGAACCUUACCUGGUCUUGACAUAGUAAGAACUUUCCAGAGAUGGAUUGGUGCCUUCGGGAACUUACAUACAGGUGCUGCAUGGCUGUCGUCAGCUCGUGUCGUGAGAUGUUGGGUUAAGUCCCGCAACGAGCGCAACCCUUUUCCUUAUUUGCCAGCACUUCGGGUGGGAACUUUAAGGAUACUGCCAGUGACAAACUGGAGGAAGGCGG
rnacentral:rRNA from 2 species